GAAGAUCUAUAUAAAAAUGUAUUUCUGUUUCUUCUUUGAACUUGAUUUCCUCUAAUGGAAUAUGUUUGAGUCGCAUGGUCGGAUUCGGAUCUACAGUUGCUUCUUUCCCUUCUUUCCCCUCUACUGUCUUUGUAUCAUCCGAGCCGCACCAUCGACGAUGAACGAAUAGAAACAGUCUACCAUUUCAUCUCUGGGAUUCCUUCGUGUGUGUCAUUUGGCUGUUGCUCCAGUGUCGUCAUUGUUGUGGUAGUAGCUUCAUUGACUCCAGCGAGUUUCGAGAUCUGGAUCGUAGCUCCGUUCCAGGCUUCCAUUUUCGGUACCGUUAACAGUGAUUAAUUAUAUUUCUAAGAAGGUUAAAUCCAUAUCGUGUGAACUAGGUGGCCAGAAGUAAUGUCUAGCAAGGGCGAAAGUUGAUGAAUCCAAAGGAUAUACGUAUCACACGUGAGACAGAAAAGAAAUAAAGAACAUGUGUACAUAAUGCAUGAAUCAUAUUCAUUUCAAGCUUACUGACUAGGUGUCAUACGUUAACUUCACUAAUCACCUUAAAGUUUGA
rnacentral:lncRNA from 1 species